GCGAGGUCCUGUGCAGCAGGCGAGGUAAGACGAACGGUCCGAACGUUGCUCGGAACCACUGGGCGUAAAGGGGGCGUAGGCGGGCGAUUAAGGAAGGGGGGAAAUCCUGCAGCUUAACGGUAGAAGUGCCGUUGAUACUGGGCGUCUCGAGGGAGGUAGGGGUGUGUGGAACUUCCAGUGGAGCGGUGAAAUGCGUUGAUAUUGGAAGGAACGCCGGAGGCGAAAGCGACGCACUGGACCUCUUCUGACGCUGAGGCGCGAAAGCUAGGGGAGCAAACGGGAUUAGAUACCCUGGUAGUC
rnacentral:rRNA from 1 species